rnacentral:rRNA from 1 species
UUCGGAUUGGAGUCUGCAACCCGACUCCAUGAAGCUGGAUUCGCUAGUAAUCGCGCAUCAGCCACGGCGCGGUGAAUACGUUCCCGGGCCUUGUACACACCGCCCGUCAAGCCAUGGGAGCCGGGGGUACCUGAAGUGCGUGACCGCAAGGAGCGCCCUAAGGUAAAACCGGUGACUGGGGCUAAGUCGUAACAAGGUAUC